GUCAAUGCGUUUCCAUUUGAGUAUCCUGAAAACGGGCUUUUCAGCAUGGGGCGCAUUUAUUUAAUUAUAGGAGUGCAUAGUGGCCCGUAUAGCAGGCAUUAACAUUCCUGAU
rfam:Pantoea sp. AS1 0__len__27436, whole genome shotgun sequence.